rnacentral:lncRNA from 1 species
UAUAUAAAUAUAUAGUGACAAAAAUAAGAUAUAAAAUGUCAUAUACAUAUAUUGAUUAAAAACAAAAAUGAUGCUUUCAUAUAUAUUCACGUGUGUAUUUACAAUAGUACUACAUAUAUAUGUACAUGUGUAAUAAAUAAGUAUUUUUAUAUUUAUUACUUUUGUAAUCCUUUUUCUUAUAGUAGAUACAAACUUGACUGAAGAUGUUCUCAGUGUUGAUUUACUGGACGAACGACAAGAGUUAACUAACCUGCAAAAUGAAAUUGAAAAGAAUAAAGACUUAAAUGGGCUUUUUAUAUUUAUAUAUCCUAAGCAUGAUACUGAAAAAUAUAGAACAGAGUCCAAUUAUUUUAAAGAAGAAUUAGAACAAAUUAAAAACAAGAACUAUGCCAUUUAUGGUUUAUCGGAUGACAACACUGAGGAGGAAAUAAUGUGGUCAGAAAAAGACCUGUUAAAAAAACUAGGUUGUAUAAAUGAAGAAGACGAAAUAAUAAGAUCACAUUUGAUCAUACAAAAUAAUUCUAAAGUUUCUUAUUUUCAAAAAAAAAUAGAUGACGAUAUGUCUUUUGGACAUGUAAUUAAUUUUCUUUCAGUUAAUGAGAACGAUGAAGAUACAAUAAAAGAUACAUCCGUAGAAAAUGAACAAAUUGAUAGUAAUAAAUUAGUCACAGAAUAUAGUGAAAAUAUAAAUACCGAAAAAGAAAAAGGUAAUGAUGAUGAAAAUAUGAGAACAGAUGAAGAAAUGACAAGAGAGGAUGAUAAUGAAAGUAAUAAAGACUAUGAAGUAAUAAGUAGUGAUAAUAAUAAAAACUCUGACCAAGAGGAAUAUAACCAAUUAGAAUCUAAUCAAUUAGAGAUAAGUCAAGAACCGAGUUUUGAAGAAAAUAAUUCCGAAACAGAAAAAGAACAAGAGACAGAGAAAGAGAAAGAAGAGAAUGAAGAGAAAGAAGAGAAAGAAGACGGAGAAAAUACAGAUGGAAAAAUGGAUGAACAUGUAGAAAACGAAAUUAAUGAAAAAAAACGAAAACGCAGAGGAUAGCGUUAAGAUUACAGGUGAAUAUUCUGAAAAUAUAGAUAAUCAAACUGAGAAUGUAAAUGAGAAAAACGAAGAAAAUUAUAAAGACAUUAAUAAAACAGAUGAAAAAACUAUUGCA